rnacentral:rRNA from 1 species
GAUGAACGCUGGCGGCGUGCCUAAUACAUGCCAGUCGAGCGAACGGACGAGAAGCUUGCUUCUCUGAUGUUAGCGGCGGACGGGUGAGUAACACGUGGAUAACCUACCUAUAAGACUGGGAUAACUUCGGGAAACCGGAGCUAAUACCGGAUGAUAUUUUGAACCGCAUGGUUCAAAAGUGAAAGACGGUCUUGCUGUCACUUAUAGAUGGAUCCGCGCUGCAUUAGCUAGUUGGUAAGGUAACGGCUUACCAAGGCAACGAUGCAUAGCCGACCUGAGAGGGUGAUCGGCCACACUGGAACUGAGCCACGGUCCAGACUCCUACGGGAGGCAGCAGUAGGGAAUCUUCCGCAGUGGGCGAAAGCCUGACGGAGCAACGCCGCGUGAGUGAUGAAGGUCUUCGGAUCGUAAAAAUCUGUUAUUAGGGAAGAACAUAUGUGUCAGUAACUGUGCACAUCUUGACGGUACCUAAUCAAAAAGCCACGGCUAACUACGUG